GUCUUGAUAAACAGUGGGCAGAGAGAUGAAGGCCCUGUUCCCCGGAUAACUUGCUGUGCAGGAGGAGCACCUCUCCCUCCCUGGCUCACUUUCCUUUCUCUCUCCUCAGCUCUCCGCAUUUGUUUUUCACAUUCUCCAAAGUAUUAUACUUUCUUCCUUUUUCAUACACCUUUGAUAUUUCUAUUUCAUCUCGGCCCUGAUACAUCCAGGUUUUUAGCUAAAAGUUUCUGUGUGCAUGUGUGUGUUUUAUUUCAUCAAGCAGAAUUUAGUCUAUGGUUUGUGUAUUUCAGAAGCUCUGUGUUUCAGCUUCUCUUCCCCUGGUACACUGAGCUCCUGCCCCAAGCUCAGGCCGCCUGUGCAUGACAGGUAUGAGGCCAGCAUUCUGUGAUUCACCUGGAAAACACAAGUCCCCACUUCUUCCUCAUUUCUGUGCCUCUCUGGAGGGAACCCUGGCAGCCCUUGCCUCAGUUUCUGGGACAAUCCAGGCAGCUCUCCAUCACUGGAGAACACCAGAUGGAAUGGAUGGAGGCAAUUUUUCAGAAAGUACUUUAAGAGCGGCUUCCUCAGUGGUCUUUCCAGCUGGAAGCAGAGCGUCCAGAAAGCACCGCAUUCUCAGCGCUGUUUCAUUGCCUCAAGAGCUACAGAUGGCUUCCCCAAGCACCUGAAGUCGAUGCUGCUUGCCUGGAUGGAAUAAGCUGCAAGCUGCAGAAACUCUUGUCUUUUCACAGUGGAACUCAGACUCCAGUUUCUUUCUGCCUUGAGAGUGAAAGAAAGGAGAAGACACAGAGUAGGAAAGAGCCAGAAGGUGGAGAAAUUAAUGUUUAAUGCUUGAUACUCCCGGGGCCUGGCCAGCUGCUCAAAAAAAGGAAGGAGGUGAUGAAGAGAGAAAGAAAGGAUGGAAGGAAGGAGGAAGUGGACAAUGAGCCCAGAGCCCUCACCUGAGUUCCAAACAUUUAAGUCAAACUGCCAACUUCAUUCUCCAUUUGGACGAUUUCUCAACAUGUACAAAACCAAGUCCUGAUUUUUCCGUGACCCCAAAUCUGUUCUAUCUGAAGCCUCCCUAUCUCAGUUACUGAUCCUGGCUGAUGGAUGUAAUGAAGGCAUGAACUAUACUAGUUGAACAAGGAAAUGAACUUGAACCAAAUUGUGAAGUUCUCUGCAGUGAAAUAUUAAAGCUCUGCUGAAAGGACUUGGGAGUGAGCUGCCAGGCUACAGGGGAUUGAAUCGAAAGCCCCCUAAUGGUUAAAGUGUCCAUUAGCUUCUCUACACUUAGCAUCCAUCAGAGAGAAGACAGGCUGGGAGCCCCGGGCGAAUUUCUAACUAGCCUAAUGAGGAGAGAGAUUCUGGGAGCAAAAAAAGUUCAUUUGCUGAAUUUCCAGCAAGAAGUCACUUCAAUAUUGCUUCUAGGAAACACUGACAGGCUUUGUUGAUUAGCAAGCUAAACAGAGAAAAAGAUAACACUCAAGAAACUGCCUAUAUGUAAGAGAUUCCUUUGAGAACUUUCAAAUGGCUCCUUUCUACAAAAGACCUGAGAAUACUUAACCCCCCACCACUAGCACACUCAAAGCUCAAGGCAAAUGCAUUUUCAAGAUUGACAGGGUCUUGGACUCUGAAAGUCUUUGGACCCAAGAAAAAUCGUGUUAUCUAAGAGAGCAGUUAUUCUGACACAGACUGAUAUCAGGUGCCUGUGGCAUGAAACACGGAAGAGAAUAAUAGCAUCUACCUUAUAAGAAGACAUACUAUAUUCUGGACCACAUAUCUGAUAAUUCUUACAGCCCUUUAAAGAUAAUCAUAACUAGAAUAUUAUCUUAUUUUGUAGCUCAUAGAUGUCAAAAGACUAGCUCAUAAUUUUAUUGCGGAUACAUAGCAGAACCAAGAUUUGAACUCAGACCUGUCUCAUUCCACAACUCAUUUUCCUUGAAGUCAAUAGAUGCCACUGAUCUCUAAAUACCUACAAAAGGGGCUCGGAGGUGGAGAGGGGAUGUCUGAGGAGCCUUAGGACUACCACCCAAUGUUCUGUCUUUAGAUAGAGAUGCUAUCACCAAUCUCUCUUUCACACAUACUCCUCCUCUUCUCAUUUCUGUUCGUGUACUUGGUUCUCAGUGUAAGAUUUUGUUAGAAGAAAGAGGCAUGUUGGUAAAAUAAGAAAUAAUAUAUCAAAAAUAAAAUAAAAUUGUUUGAAAGUCU
rnacentral:lncRNA from 1 species